AUAUUUAAAUCACAACGUAAUAAAUCAGAGGUCAAUUUUAAAAAUGGCCAGAGUCAGAACUUUCUCCCUCACUGAAAUACAACUGGAAACCCAGCACCCCAGUUCAAAAUACUUAAUGGGUUAAAGAAAACUAAGUGGAAGUUAUAAAAUAUUUAGCAUGGACUGGAAUGCGGGCACAGUAAACUGAGAAUGCAGCUAAAUAGGUAUUUUAGGAGACAUCAUCAUAGACUUAAAAGCCCAUAUUCAGAGAUAAGGAAGACGAAAAAUUAAUGGACCAAGCAUCCAACUCAAGAUGAUGUGAAUAAUUACAAAAUGACCUCAAUCAAUCAAUCAAUCAAUCAAUCAAGGCAAGAGGCAUAGAAAAGCGUGAGAUGAACGCACUCCCUAGAACUCUGGAAAGAUUGGGGCUCACUCCAGCUAGCGAACGUGGUUAGCCAAACUGGAGACUGAACACAGAUGGGCAGCAAACACCUGUCUUACACAAUAACAUCCACAGAGCGCUUUCCCGUGCUUGAUUAGAUAUUGACCUCUGUGACUGCAACUGUCAGGCGAGGGCACUAAAGCUUGUUCCUCAGGAGAUCUUCAGGUAGGAUCUUAAACUUGGGUGCCCUGCCCAGGUCAGAGCUGCUUCUCAGCUCUGUUUCUCAGCCCUCUGCCAGCACGCUAUUGCUGGAGAAAUGUUAUCAAUCAUUUGUCAUUAUUUCCCGCGGGUGUCUUGACUCUGGACUCUAACAAAAUAGGAAAUUCUUACCUUCUCUGAAUAAUUAUUUCAGAAAAGACACCGUUCUGGUCCCUGCCUCCAGGGCUAACCAUAACGUGAACUCAAGGUGUGAGGCUAACCUGAUGGCCACGCAUGUUUGGUCACCAGAGUCCGAGAAUCCCCCUUAACAUUUGGAAUUCCUGAUUUACAAAGCUAUCUUGUGACAAACCUACUACACUUUAGAUAGUAAAUAUUUGAAGUUUUGAUUCACACUGAGCAUCAUCUGCUUUGUCAGCUGAGAGCAUUAUCUUAAUAAAAUACAUCUGGUUUCCAAUGGUAAACCUGUAUUUCAGGAUUGGAUUUCUCGCUCAUGUCAGUGACUGAGGGAAUACAGCAAACCAGAUAUUAGGUUCAAAUCGGUUAUUACAUUUUGUUGAUAGCCUUUUGUGUUUCUAGUGCAUAAGGAAUAAAUAAGUAACUGAAUCAAUAUAUAUUUAUUUAGCAGGGCUAUGUUUCCACUACUUUUCAGAAAUGUAUUAUCUAGCACUGUUGCCUAAUUUACUCUGAGACUAUUGUUUCCCUCUGUGUUUUCUGAUAUAAUCUCAAAAAAUAAAAACCAGAAGCAAACGUAAUUCUGUCAUUCUAUUUUUGUUGGAAGCAAGGCGGUUGCUGUUAUUCGGUUUGGGGGAAAUUAAAGGCGGCACUUGAGAUCUGAAAAAUUUCCUGGACUUAAAAAUAAUCUUUGACAGUGUGAACAGCAGGGCCAGUGUGGCAUCCUUUGUGUAACAGGCAGAAUAAGCCAAUUUAUUUGCAGUAAGAUUUUCUCUCUUUAUAUAGUCAAAUAAAUCCCAUUCAUGUGUGGAGAUAAUUGCAGGGACAUGGAAAACCACUGUCAAAGCACCACAUUUUGAUGGGAAGCUGCUAGGAAUGAGCACUUUAAGAGAACCAAAAGGGUAUAGUGAUCGGGUUCAGCUUUUGAAGCAGACACACCGGCUUUGAAUCAUCUCUGAUUCUCACCAGCCGUCUGACCUCACUUUUUAAAUCUCCGAAAGGAGAAUGGUGAUAGUAUCCGAGUGAUUAGCCCGUUGUGAGAAUUAAAAGAAGCCAAACUUACGAAGGCCGGCAGCUCCGUGCCUGACCCACGGUGAACCCUUCCCUGUCUCCAAGGAAACUAUGAGCACAGCAAUUCAAGGAAACAACAAAAAAAACAGGGAGUUUUUCACCAUUCAUGGGAGGCAUCCAGGAGUUGAGAACUAUGCAGGUGCAUAGGUGAAUCUUCCUUCCAAUUAGAGAGAACCCACCCUUAGUUCCGUCAGAGUUCGAGAAGCCAUGAGAUCACUAAAGGAUAGGGAAGUGUUCCAGGACCAAGGCCUAUUCUUAGGUGGCUGGAUUGGAGUUGACAAAUGACAUGCAUGAGACUGCAUUUCUCAACACCAGGAGUAGCUUGUGGAGCUGAAGAAAGAAAUCAAAGUCAUUUCUAUCAAUAAAUAAAACUUAGGCCUUGAAAACCAUCAGUUUACCCUUGCCUGUCUCUUCUCUCUGCGUGUUGGUCUGAUUUUCUUCUGUUGUCAAAUGACUUUCCCUUUGUGGCACUGAUCACGGCUACUGGCAACUUCCAGGACCAUAUUCUAACAGCCUGGAAACCA